rnacentral:rRNA from 1 species
UACAUAGAGGACGUCUCCCUUCCCGACCCUAUCCGAAUGGGUCUUCGUGAGUUUACAAAUGCCCCAUUGAAGAAGCGCCGUAGCUGGCGUCCUUGGAGCCCCAAGGAGGAAGAUAGCAUAGAGGUCCUUCAACUGAUGGGCAGGAUAAAAAUGCUUGCCAAAUCUGGAUUGACAACAAUCGAGGUUAUGUCAAUAUGCAUAAUGCGGGGGGUGCAGCUACUCCAGUAUCGGGGGCAUCCCAUGUGGCACUUCAACGGAGAAGACGAUGCCACCGGCUGCGGUCGGAAAGGUCCGGAUUCCGCCACCGCUCUGGCGAAAAUACUG